UACGAAGGGUGCAAGCGUUACUCGGAAUUACUGGGCGUAAAGCGUGCGUAGGUGGUUUGUUAAGUCCGAUGUGAAAGUCCUGGGCUCAACCUGGGAAUGGCAUUGGAUACUGGCAGGCUAGAGUGCGGUAGAGGGCAGUGGAAUUCCCGGUGUAGCAGUGAAAUGCGUAGAGAUCGGGAGGAACAUCUGUGGCGAAGGCGACUGCCUGGACCAGCACUGACACUGAGGCACGAAAGCGUGGGGAGCAAACAGG
rnacentral:rRNA from 1 species